rnacentral:rRNA from 1 species
CGAAUGGGGGAACCUAAGUCUUAGCUCCUGAUGCUAGGGCUUGUUCUGGUUCGAACGAAUAGAAUCAGAAAGCGAACGCAGGGAACUGAAACAUCUUAGUACCUGUAGGAAAAGAAAUCAAAAGGAGAUUUCCCUAGUAGUGGCGAGCGAAAAGGAAGGAGCCGUGCAGAGUAUUGUGUUCAUUAGUUGAAUGCCCUGGAACGAGCAAUCAUAGGGGGUGAGAAUCCUGUAGACUAAAAUGAGCA